UCUCUCCCUCUCUCACCCACACAUUGCCUCAAACUCAACGACCAUAAAUAUGUUAACAGCUCUCAAUUCACAGAGCAUGCAAAGACAAACCAGAGAGAGAAGAGAUCUAUCGUGAUGAUAGCCGUAAAUAUUACAUUUCUGAAAAGUUGAAAGUACAUUGUGUAUGAUUGUUGACUAUCCAAUCACCUCCACCCUCCACAAAACCCUAAUAAUAAUUGUUUCCGACAUUAUUGUUUUUCUCAGAUCUAUAUGCUCGUGAGUUCAAAAUUGGUGUGUGUGGUGCAGUGAGGAGAUUGGGGAAGGAGAUUGCAGAGUCAUGACAGAAGAGAGUGAGCACACGCAGGCAUUUCUAUAAUCAGUUUAUAUGUUUGUUUAGCCGUGUGCUCACUUCUCUUUCUGUCAUAUAACUUUCCACCUCCCACCUUUUUCCAUCAUUACUACUUUCACUGCACCCUCUAUUUCAAGAUUGCUCUCUCUGUCUGUGCUUAUUCAUAAAUCAAAGAGAUAAUUAUUAAGGGAAAUAGGCACCUCAUCAAGUGAGAUUUUUCAUUUUUUGUUAUUUUUAGAAGAACAUUUAAUUUUCGCUAAUUGAAUAUGAAAGUUUGAAUCUUGAAACCCUCUUAGCUCUAUCUCAUGUAAAUUGUCUUCUCAAGUUAUCUUUUUUUUGUAUAAUUCAUGUGGAAGCAAAUUUCAUUGAUGUAGUUGUGACUUAGAUUACAAAUUGAAAGUAAAAGUUUGAAUCUUGAUGAAGCCCUCUUAGGUCUAUCUAGUGUAUACCGUUUCUUCAAAUUAUCUUUUCACAGUUGUUUAGUUCUCUCUUUUAUGUUGGAGGAAAUUUCUUAUCAUAUGUAUCAGAUCACUAAAUGAAAAUAAAUUGUAAAUCUUGAAACCCUUUUAGAUCCCUCUAUGACUCUAUGUAUAUGUUUCUUCAAAUUAUCUUUUAUGACAAAUUAUUUUUGUAUGUUUAUGUGGAAGAAAAUGAAAUUAAAAGCAUGAAUGUUCCUUUUUUAUUAUUAUUAGGAAGGUCUUGCAUCUUAAUACAAGUAGCAGUAUAUAAUUAUAGUAGGAUAGAGGUUAUGCAGUGAUUAGAUUGCUAUUUCAUUUAAAAAAAAAGUUCUACUCAGAGGCGUGACUUUUGAUGUUGUCAUUGUUGGAGUUGAAGAUUUGGUAAGGUACGCCUGGCCACUGUUCUGAAAUAACGGCAAAGUAUUUGUUGGUUUCAUUUGAGCCAUACUCUUUAUCCUCAAUAAAAUACUAUUAUCAACAAAAAAAUUAACAUUUAUACCAUACCCAAAUUCAAAUGAAUUCUUGAAAGCAAAAUCUGGACUUUUUUCGCUUUUAGAUUAAAAAAAAUUGAUUCUUUUGUAUCUUUGCCUCUAAAGAAAAUAUUGGAUUUGUGAUUACAUUACCAUAUUUUAUGUGAUUUGUUCGUUCCAACCAAAUUGGUUUUCUGGGUUUGUUUCUCUCUUGUAAUUGGUUAUGGUAACCUCUCUUUUCCUAUGAAGCUUGGAUGCAGCUCAGAAAAAUAAGAGGUUUUUUUUUGUGUUUCAUAUGUGAAGCUGAUGCGCAUAGAAUUAUAUAUGGGUGUCAUCAAGAAUGAAAAUUUUCCAUAUACAGCCCUUGCUACUUGUUGCGGGAGGCUGAAACUUGAUUUCCCAGUGUGAGGCUUUACUGAAUAGAUUAUGAUGGAAGAAGCAAGCGGUCGGUGCUACCAAAAAUCUGUUUGGUGAAAUCUCUGAUUCCACCCGCAGCAGUGUUUCAAAAAGGAAUCAGUAAUCGGUGUGGCAUCCUUGCACGACCCAAUGGCCUCUAGGUUCAAGUUUCUCUUCGAGAAGGAGCUCACGCCUAGCGACGUUGGCAAGCUCAAUUGGCUUGUCAUUCCCAAGAAGUUUGCUGUGAAGUAGUACUUCCCUAAAAUCCUUCCAUGUCAGGUUUGCGAUCAAGGGAUGGGAUUAUUUAUCUUCUUACGAAGAGAAAUAUUGUACUCGGUAUACUAGAAGCAGUGUACGAGCGGGGCGGGCUCGUCGUUGAUGGAGAUGAAGGCAGUAGAUGUCAUUGAGAGAAUGGAUACUGACAAUGUACAAGUGAAGAAAAAUGUGCCUUCUCUUUGGUGUAAGGGUAAGGGCCUUGAACUAUUCGGCGUCGAAAUUGUGUAGUCGACAGCAAAGUUGGUUAAGUUGCCUUUUUCAUUCUUAUUAUUUUCCUAAUUGCAAUUAUGCAGCAUGCGUUAUAUAUUUUCAUUUAGAAGAAAGGCUUGAUUGUAAGACUCCAUUGGUCAACGAAAAGUUUAAUUAUGAAAACAAUGAAA